GAUUGCCGUUGUAACUGCGACGUCUGCGGUUUUCUGUUAUGGACACAUGACUGGAAACUGCUGUAGGCCAGGAAUGUGAAGUCCAGAUGGCAGCAUUUCGGUUGCACGAGACGUGACAUUUAAUGCCUUUAUUGGAUCGCACCAGUUGAGCGAUGACAGGAAACGAGUGGGAGAGAGAGCUGCACCAAUGGCUCCUUGUCGGCAUCUUGAUCCCUCAGCCGCCGAGGGGAGGGGACUUCCUGUUUAUAGCACGAGCGAUGACGUUUAAUUGGUGUGAUUGAAGGCAGAUGGAGCGGCAAAGGUUGGGAAGAUGCCAAGAACCGGAGCUUCAGAGCGUGUGAAGAGGUGCAGGCCCUCAGCAAUCAGCCAGCCGCCGCGUCUCCCAUUAACCUCGACACAAAGGCGCGCUUUGACGCGGCGGCUACAUUGGCCUGUUGAGAACUGGCUUUUAUCUGAGAGGUGGGGUGACGUGCCGAGAGAUGUUUGGAGCUCACAGCUAUUCUAAUGGAGUCUUUGGGGACAAAAGCAUCCGCAGAAUGAAUAAAAUGCGAUGCUUUGGGGGCGGCCAUUGUUCACUGGCACUCUGACUGGGACGAGACUCCUUAACCAGUCAGAAGGUUCUGGAAGAGUUUGUCCAAAUCACCGGGAGGAGGAGGGAGAGUCCUUGAGGGUGUUAACAGGCGAGCAGAGUGUAGAUCUUCCACUAUCAUAGUUUUCGGCUUGUGUUCCUCCUGCACAUCACACACACAACAUAUUCCUUCCUAAUGCAUAUUGUGCAUCUCAGGGG
ensembl:lncRNA